rnacentral:rRNA from 1 species
AAUGAACGUUGGCGGCGUGGAUUAGGCAUGCAAGUCGUACGAGAAUCGUAGCAAUACGAGGAAAGUGGCGGAAGGGAGAGGAUUACGUGGGAAUCUACCCUCAGAACUGGGAUAGCGGCGGGAAACUGCCGGUAAUACCAGAUAAUGUCUGUGGACCAAAGGUGUGAUUCCGUCUGGGGAUGAGCCCACGUCCUAUUAGCUAGUUGGUAGGGUAAUGGCCUACCAAGGCAAUGAUGGGUAGCGGGUGUGAGAGCAUGACCCGCCUCACUGGGACUGAGAACUGCCCAGACACCUACGGGUGGCUGCAGUCGAGAAUCUUCGGCAAUGAGCGCAAGCUUGACCGAGCGACGCCGCGUGCGGGAUGAAGGCCUUCGGGUUGUAAACCGCUGUCGUAGGGGAGCAAGAGAUGAGGGUACUCCCUCUGAUUUGAGCGAUCCUAGGAGGAAGGACGGGCUAAGUUCGUGCCAGCAGCCGCCGUAACAC